UGGAGCAGAAAAGGACAUUCAUCCCUCUGCCAUGUAGUAGAUGAUUGGUAGGGAGAGCUUGAAGCCCACACUCACAUAGGAACACUUUAAGCUUUGGAGGGGUCUUUGCUCUCCAAAUAGACUUCCAGAGUCUCGUCAUUUUAAGGAGCGUCGGAUACUGUUCCUAGCGCAAGCAAAUAGGCACUCGCUAAUGAGAAGGAACCCAAAUUCGUAAGGUUCCAGUAGAGAGAAUCCCUACUGUUGGUGUUGCAAAAGAAUGGCGUACUCAGAAAGGAGUCAAUUAAAUCUCUUGGGAGUUCCAGAGGUUGAUUUCUGAUGAUUUUGAGCUCCAGCAUUUGUGGCGGACUCGAAGAUACAUGUGACACAUGUUUAGCCUGAACUAGUAACCUGAUGUCGUUUUAAAGGUUUAGCCCAGACGGUUAUCCUGACAUGUAUAUAUAUAGCUCUAGUCAAGCUCUUUGAUGUGUCGAUAUAAUGGUUUAGCCUGGACGGGUAAUCUGACACUAUUAUAUGUUUCGCUUGAACAAGCCUCUGAUAUGAAUUGUACAUGUGUGUUUUAGCUUGUUUACUGAGUUUCAUCGGGUAAUAUUGGUAAUAUGAAAUAAGAAAUAUAAAUGUUUCGAAAUA